AGAGAGGGGUAAUAGACCCGUUUAUAAGCAAUUUCGUCUUCGUCAUUUUCUCUUCCUUUGCCUUCCUCGUUUGCUCACAGAGAGAGAGAGAGAGACUCUAUUACUGGUGGUCCACGAGGGCAGGAUUUGAUGGCUACCGUUGCAGCAAGUAGUAGCAGAAGAUGUAUAGACGGUGGCUUGCCCAGUGAUCAAAACGACCAACAAUGGGGUUGUCUAAAGCAGGGCAAAAAGACGUAUGGGAAGAUGGGUAUUGAGAAGAGAAUGAAGUUGGAGGACGGCGUUGUUUCCUGGAGGCGGAGCCGCGGAAGAGGGCCCAAGAAGAUUCCUCCACGGGGUACGACGUCGAUUCCAGGAGGCAGAAGCAGGCCGGAGAAGACGCCGUGACGGAGGAGGAGUUCUUCGCGAUCUUCAGGCCAAUACACGUGGGGGUUAGAUACUUCAAGCGCGCUGGCAAAGGCAAGGGCGUCUCAAUUUAAUGUCGAUUGAUCUCGAAGGGGAGUGGCACGAGGAAGUUAAUGACGUACAAGGAGAAGAACAGCACAAGAGGAAGGAGCAGGGCACCAAUGGCUGAUCAAAAAGCUUGAAUAUUCGCGUUGGUGAUUGUGAUUUGGAGCCGGGUAAUUAGUUAACCGGUGAUCGAUAUGAAUCAUUUUCGGGUCGGGUCGAAAAUUGAUAUUUUCGGGUCAAUUUA